UACGUAGGGGGCAAGCGUUGUCCGGAUUUAUUGGGCGUAAAGAGCGUGUAGGCGGCUAGAUAGGUCCGUUGUGAAAACUCGAGGCUCAACCUCGAGACGUCGAUGGAAACCAUCUGGCUAGAGUCCGGAAGAGGAGAGUGGAAUUCCUGGAUGUAGCGGUGAAAUGCGCAGAUAUCGGGAGGAACACCGGUGGCGAAGGCGGUUCUCUGGGCCUUACCUGACGCUGAGGAGCGAAAGCGUGGGGAGCGAACAGG
rnacentral:rRNA from 1 species